rnacentral:snRNA from 1 species
UGGACAAUGGGCCGAAAAAUGUUCAUGCCC